UACGUAGGGUGCGAGCGUUGUCCGGAAUUAUUGGGCGUAAAGGGCUCGUAGGCGGUUUGUCGCGUCGGGAGUGAAAACACACAGCUUAACUGUGUGCUUGCUUCCGAUACGGGCAGACUAGAGGUAUGCAGGGGAGAACGGAAUUCCUGGUGUAGCGGUGAAAUGCGUAGAUAUCUGGAGGAACACCGGUGGCGAAGGCGGCAUCCUGGACCGACACUGACGCUGAUGAGCGAAAGCCAGGGGAGCAAACGGG
rnacentral:rRNA from 1 species